CCGGGGGGAANNCNCCAUAUACCUUCAUUCAAGGCUUCCUUCCAAGUAGCAACGGCUAGUUAACCGCCAACAGCUCAAAUUUGAAAUCUGGCGCUCCGGUGCCCGAGUUGUAAUUUGCAGAGGAUGCUUUUGGCCAGGUGCCUUCCGAGUUCCCUGGAACGGGACGCCAUAGAGGGUGAGAGCCCCGUACGGUCUGGUGCCUAGCCGCUGUAAAGCUCCCUCGACGAGUCGAGUAGUUUGGGAAUGCUGCUCUAAAUGGGAGGUAAACUCCUUCUAAAGCUAAAUAUUGGCCAGAGACCGAUAGCGCACAAGUAGAGUGAUCGAAAGAUGAAAAGCACUUUGAAAAGAGAGUUAAAUAGCACGUGGAAAUUGUUGAAAGGGAAGCCGCUUGUGACCAGACUUGGGCUUGGUAGUUCAGCCGUCCUUUUGGGCGGUGCAUUCUGCCGGUUCAGGCCAGCCAUCAGUUGCCGGCUGGGUAGAAUUGUACUGGGAAUGUGGCCUCUUCGGAGUGUUAUAGCCCGCUACGUAAUGCCCUACUGGCGACUGAGGUUAGCCGUUUUCACCGGAUGCUGGCGUAAUGGUAUAUUAGCGGACCGCUCUUGAAACACCGACCCAAGGAGUUCGUUCCUGCUAUGCGCAGUGUUUGGGGUGUUAAACCCCCUACCGCGAAAAUGAAAAGUGAACGCAGGUGAAAAGCUACGGGCGCCAUUCAUCCGACCCGGAUCCUUGAUUGUUAUACCGGAUGGGAUUUGAAGUUCCGAAGCAUUAGCCCGGUCCCGGACCCCGCAAAGAAAGUAAAGCAAAAGGACCCGGAAAGCCCCUAAAUUUUUAAUGGCCGUAUUGUUACUAAACGUGGUAAUUUUAAUAGGGUGAAACUAUGCUUUGAAUAAGGCAAAGCCAGAAGGAAACUUUGGGUGGAGGUCGCCACGGUUUUUGACGUGGCAAUUCAUCCUCAAAUUUGACCUUGGGGCGAAAGAAUAAUCAAACCUUUUAGUANCUGGUUUUAACCGAAUUUCCUCAGGAAACACGGUUGAUUUCUUUUAUGAGGAAGCC
rnacentral:rRNA from 1 species